rnacentral:rRNA from 1 species
GAUCCUGGCUCAGGACGAACGCUGGCGGCGUGCUUAACACAUGCAAGUCGAACGAAGAGCGAUGGAAGCUUGCUUCUAUCAAUCUUAGUGGCGAACGGGUGAGUAACGCGUAAUCAACCUGCCCUUCAGAGGGGGACAACAGUUGGAAACGACUGCUAAUACCGCAUACGAUUCAAUCUCGGCAUCGAGACUGGAUGAAAGGUGGCCUCUAUUUAUAAGCUAUCACUGAAGGG